rnacentral:rRNA from 1 species
AACGAACGCUGGCGGCAGGCUUAACACAUGCAAGUCGAACGAGAUCUUCGGAUCUAGUGGCAGACGGGUGAGGAACACGUGGGAACAUCCCUUUCAGUUCGGAAUAACGUUGGGAAACUAACGCUAAUACCGGAUACGUCCUUCGGGAGAAAGAUUUAUCGCUGAAAGAUUGGCCCGCGUCUGAUUAGCUAGUUGGUGAGGUAACGGCUCACCAAGGCUACGAUCAGUAGCUGAUCUGAGAGGAUGAUCAGCCACAUUGGGACUGAGACACGGCCCAAACUCCUACGGGAGGCAGCAGUGGGGAAUAUUGGACAAUGGGCGCAAGCCUGAUCCAGCCAUGCCGCGUGAGUGAUGACGGCCUUCGGGUUGUAAAGCUCUUUUGUCCGGGAAGACGAUGACUGUACCGGAAGAAUAAGCCCCGGCAAACUUCGUGCCAGCCGCCGCAGUAA